rnacentral:tRNA from 2 species
CAGGGUGUGGCUGAAUUAGUCAAGCAUCUCACCUACACUGAGAAGAUAUCCAUGCAAAUUGGGUCGCCCUGA